UACGUAGGGUGCAAGCGUUAAUCGGAAUUACUGGGCGUAAAGCGUGCGCAGGCGGUUUUGUAAGUCUGUCGUGAAAUCCCCGGGCUUAACCUGGGAAUGGCGAUGGAGACUGCAAGGCUGGAGUUUGGCAGAGGGGGUAGAAUUCCACGUGUAGCAGUGAAAUGCGUAGAGAUGUGGAGGAACACCGAUGGCGAAGGCAGCCCCUGGGUCAAAACUGACGCUCAUGCACGAAAGCGUGGGGAGCAAACCAGG
rnacentral:rRNA from 1 species